UUAUCUUAGUAGUAUUAAUAAAUGGGAGAGAUCUACACACACACACGCACACACACACACACACAUAUAUAUUAACACGUUAAGCGCCACGUCAGUCAUCGAUGACUGACACUGAACUUUCCGUUUAGGCCGCGUCAGUCACCGGUGACUGACACCACCACGCUAAGCGUGCCUGACGGGGCGUGCGUGGCCUGACCGGGAUUUCCUUAAGAAUUCGCGUGGCGCUUAACGUGUUAAUAAUAUAUAAUUUGUGAAAAACUUUGCAAUAUAGUUUUACUGCUAAAAUAAUAUAAAAAUUACAUGAUACUAUUUAUGAUGUUUCCAACAUUAACAUUGGAUAUGUUAUGAUAGAGAUAUAUAACUUACAAUGCAAUAAUUUUAAUAAUAAGUAGCAUUGUCAAUUACUUCCUUUCUUUCUUUAAUUACUAUUAUUUACCUUCUUUUUAUUAUAUUUAGUUGCACACUAUUAGUAUCUAUAUCUUAAUCCUUGAAAAGGAUAUUAAAUUCUUCGAAGUCUAACAAAACAAGUUUUAUCAUUUUGAAAAAUAUAGAAUUUGGUCGGUAAUCCGGCAUCUCUUUAAAUGUGCGCAAUUUUUCAUAAUAUUUUUUAAUACACGGAACAUCAAAAAGUCACUUUGUACAUAGUCAAAACUGUGCACUUGUGGCUCCUGCAAACAGAACACGGCAACGCUUGAUAAAGCGACGUGUACAACAUGGAGACAAUUGGCGGUAGACAAAAGGGAACUUUUAUUUAUGUAUGUGAUGGAUAUACAUAUAACAUUGAUAAGCGGAUAAAUAACACAUAUCGAUGUUCAAGUCGUCGUUCAACAGGAUGUCCUGGUGUUGCAAAAAUAAUUAAUGAGCAAGUUCAUGUGCAAACUCUACAUCAACAUCCACCAGAUACCAAAAAGUUGGAAAAAUCUAAAAUGCAAAAUGAAAUGUUACGUUUAUCACGAGAAUCGCUUCUACCACUAAAGGAAAUUUUUGAUAACGUUUGUCGAACAAAUUUAGAAGUAGCUGCACAUAUAUCGUACAAUUCCAUGAAAAGUGUAAUGGCUCGAGAACGAGCUAAACAACGACCUCCUAUACCACAUACCUUUCAAGCCUUAUCUACUGAUUUAAAUAUAUGAUAAAUAUGAUUGGAUUAAAGAUUUUUAUAAAGGAAGUGUAACUGCACAGGAUGGUAGCAUGGCUGCUAUAUUUUCGAGUGAUAUACUUAUUGAUGCCUUAAAGGCAACUACAGAAAUGUUUGUCGAUGGGACAUUUUCUAUUGUUCCCCGCAUUCCACGUAUGAUUCAAUUAUAUACUGUUCACAUACGUUAUAAAAAUACAGGUAUUGCAGUUGUCUUCGUAUUAUGCGAGACACGAACAUUUGCCCUUUAUCAGGCAAUAUGGGAAAAAAUAAUUGAAAUCGCUCCAGAUUUGAAAAAAAAUGUCAAAUUUAUAAUGGGAGAUUAUGAACGCGCAACAAAUAAUGCCCUUCAUAAAUGUUUCCCCGAAGCUAGUUUGAAAGGAUGCUGGUUUCAUUACAACCAAGCUGUGUUGCGCAAAUGGCGGCAACUUGAUUUAACAAAUGCUCCAAGAAAAUUAAUAAUGAUGGUUAUGUCUGUACCGUUAAUAUCAGCCACUUUAUUUGAGCAAUGUUUUACUAUAUUACAAGACGUAGCUGAUACUAUGUCUAGUGACUAUCCUACAGUAUUACAAUUUAUGUGCUAUUUACGUAAGACAUGGUUGCCCGCAGCAAACAAAGUAUCUGUGUAUGGAUGUCCUGUUCGCACAAAUAAUAUAGUCGAAAGUUUUCACAACACGAUUUCAAAGAAAUUCGGGAGUAGACAUCCAAAUGUGUGGAUAUUUAUUGAAAAUUUGAAAAAAGUAAUUAUAGAUCAAGAAAUUGAUUUUCGUCGUUUACAGAAUAAUCUUCAGGCACGUAGACCUCAAACUCGAGCCAAUAAAAAAAAAAUAAUAUAAUACUACAGAAACAAAAAGAUCUUAUGGAACAUAGAGAUAACUCAUGAGAACAAUCAUGAAGUUUGUACCGAUUUUCUAUCAGAAAGUUUUAAUUCUACGUCGGAGGAAACUCUGAGAACUGCUAAUAGUAACAUAAAUACAAAUACAAUAAGAAAUCCACUUACAUUAACGCAGAGACAAGAUUCUGUGCAAGAAGAACUCUCUAUUUCUGAAAAUGCAAUUGGUACAGAUACUCUAAUCGACGUCAACACUGUAGAAUUCACAAU